GUCGGCGCCGCCGUGUGGUGGGCGUGGGUCGGAGCACGGCACAGUGACACCAGCGCGGCCGCCGCCGAACAGUGACGCCGUGCCCUGCCGGGGUCACAGAGUAGCAGCGACCUUUCGCCAGCUGGGGAAGGGAUUGUACGGCCAUCAUGAGCAGUGAGAGGAAGAAGCGCGGCAUGCCGCUCCACCAGGUCAGCAUAGAGUCGCCGGGACCCACCAUGAAGGGGUGCGUCUUCAACUUCGACGUGCCCAUGCCGGAGGUGCCGCCCUCCGGCGCCCGGAUCAGGGUGAUGUGUGCCGGCGUGUGCUACCGCUCGAAGCGCUCCAUGUCGAUCAACAGCGGCGCAUCGCUUUCCUCGAUCGGCUCCGACCACUCGAGCUGCAGCAACAAGGGCGUGCGCGACACGUCGCUGUUCCCCGGUUUCGAGGUUGCCGGUCAGAUUGAGAGCUUCGGUGAAAAUGUGGAUCCGAAAUGUGGUCUGAAGGUCGGCGACAAUGUCAUUGUGUACCCGUACAUAGGAUGUCCCGAAGGGUACGCCGAGUACGUGGCCGUCGAGGACGUCCAGUACCUGGUCAAGGUGCCGGACGAGGUACCCAUGCCGGUGGCCUCCAUGCUGCCCAGCGGCGGCCUGUGGGCCAUGAACUCUGUGUUCACCGCCAGACAAUACGUCGAGAAGCUGCUGAAAGAGCGCGGCGACAAAGGCAAGGUGAACGUUCUGGUGGUGGGCACGGGCGGCCUGGCGCUCUGGGCGAUCCGGAUCGGGCGCCACUACUUCCCCGAGUGGACCGAGGGCCAGGCGGUGCGACUGACUGUGGCGGUGCUGCGUGACGAGGGCCUGCAGAGCAUCACCGAGCAGGAGCACCAAAAGGUGAACAUCGUCCAGUGGAGCGAGGACUGCUACGAGACCCAGCUGAUCGAGCGAACCAUCAACGCCUGCGAGGGCAACGUCGACAUCAUCAUCGACUUCGCUGCCAACCCGCGCUCCAUGAACCGCUCCCUCAAGUGCCUAUCCAAGGGCGGUGUGAUCGUGAUCGGCGCCGAGACUGCCCAGCGCUACGUCAGCCGGUUCGAGAGCGUGGCGCAGGCCAGCGAUCAGACCAUCGUGCCCGUCGAGAUGGGCUCCCUCGAGCAGCUGCACACACUCGUACAUCUCAUCGCCUCCAAAAAGGUGGAGCCGCCCCCUUACAACCUGUUCCCGUCCGACAAGGCUGAGGAGGUCUUCAUGAAGCUGGGCCGCGCCAAAAUCCACGGCCGCGCCAUCCUGCACUUUGACCCGAUCCCGGACGCCCCGGAGACGUGAACUGCGCCGGAACACAGCGGAGACCCGCAGUUGUACGGCGGAGGCGCGGCGCCACCUGUGGACAGUUGUACGGCGGAGGCGCGGCGCCACCUGUGGACAGUGUCACGGCGGAGGUGCGGCGCCACCUGUGGACAGUUGCGCGGCGCCACCUGCGCAGUGUCCCGGCGGAGGCGCGGCGCUACCUGCGGACAGUUGUACGGCGCCACCUGCGGACAGUUGUACGGCGGAGGUGCGGCGCCACCUGUGGACAGUUCCGCGGCGCCACCUGCGCAGUGUCACGGCGGAGGCUCGGCGCCACCUGCGCAGUGUCACGGCGGAGCCGCGGCGCCACCUGUGGGCAGUUGUACGGCGGAGGUGCGGCGCCGCCUGUGGACAGUUGUACGGCGCCACCUGUGGACAGUGUCCCGGCGGAGCCGCGGCGCCACCUGCGCAGUGUCACGGCGGAGGCUCGGCGCCACCUGCGCAGUGUCACGGCGGAGGCGCGGCGCCACCUGCACCCCGGCGCGGGCCGCUCAGCGGGACCGUGUGAGCGCCAGUGUUCAGCCUAUGACCGAGUCGGAGGCUCCGCGGCCACCCCGCGCAUGCAGGGUUUCCCGCAGGGACGGUGGUGUUCGCAAUAAUUUGUAGGAGCUGCUCGCCGGUGGUCGCCGGUGGUUGCCGGUCGCCGGUGGUCGCCGGUGGUCGCCGGUGGUCGCUGCUCGCCGGUGGCAGCGAUCCGCACUGUGCGCCCGACUGUAGGAGCCGCAGAGGUGGACCGCCGAUGGGUGGGUGGCAGGUGGACCGCCGAUGGGUGGGUGGCCGGAGGACCGCCGUUCAGAGUGUACUGUGUAAGGCGCUCCGCCACUCCGCGAAGCCGAGCUGAGCUGAUUCUGGUGCUGAUGCCCUCGGGGCGGUGAUAGCUGAGCAGUUGGCGCAAAUGGGACCGCAUGCGUGCGAGUGUAUGACAGGAGAAAAUGCGCUGUAUUUUUGUUCGCGGAACAAUGUGUCGUGGAUUCCGACGAGCAGUUGGGACAACGUUAGCAGACUGUGCGUUAUGUUUUGUCCGAUCGUUCAAAUAUGCUCUUAAAAGCUUAAUCAUUAAGUGCCCUGGCUUUCGUAGGAUUAGUUUUAGCGUUAAAGCUAUGCGAGAUGGAUGAGGCAGUGGGCCCCAGUAUAGCCGGGAGGGCUCUGUGAAAUCCCAAACACACGCGCUGCCGGCCGCUGGGAAGACUGGACAUUCGGUGUCCAUAUCUGCGGCAUACCGUUGUAAAUUGACUAAGUGUACGAGUAUAGGAGCGUGUCCAAUACAUGCAGACGACAAUCGAA
rnacentral:misc_RNA from 1 species